UACAGAGGGUGCGAGCGUUAAUCGGAAUUACUGGGCGUAAAGGGCGCGUAGGUGGUUGAUUAAGUCAGAUGUGAAAUCCCUGGGCUUAACCUAGGAAUGGCAUUUGAAACUGAUUGGCUAGAGUAUGGGAGAGGGAAGUGGAAUUUCCGGUGUAGCGGUGAAAUGCGUAGAUAUCGGAAGGAACACCAGUGGCGAAGGCGACUUCCUGGCCCAUUACUGACACUGAGGCGCGAAAGCGUGGGGAGCGAACAGG
rnacentral:rRNA from 1 species